GACUCUCCCUGGCUUUGUGAUCCCAGGCGAGGGACCCACUCUUCCAUCAAGAAAUGGGGCAGAACCUGAAUCUGCCCCCUGAGGCUGGGUGCUUCGUGAUACUGCGUGGGCUUCUAAUAAACGUCCAGUAAACCGCAGGUAGCGCCUCGGAGAGGGAUGGGCCCGUGCACCUGUCCACAAAGGCCUCCGCGCGCCGCACCUCCACCUUCUGUCGCCCAGCCCUGGCACGGCCAGCUUCGGAGACGAGCCUGCCCCUCGGGACGCCUGCAGGAGCGCAGAAUCCAGAUCAGAACCUUGGCCCCCAGCCUGGAGCCCGGAGGUGCAGCUUGAUGUCAAUUACGGCCCAAUUCCAGAGGUGCCAUCGAAGAGUUAAC